rnacentral:lncRNA from 1 species
UCAUAUUCCCAAACAGGAAAACUGGGAUCACCUGAUUUGAAAGUAGGAUAACUUCUUCAUCCUAACUCCUAUGAGAUUUAUUCAACUGCCUGGUGAUUCUCCACUACUUUAUAUAUCCAAAUACAGCUUCUCACAUCGUGAUUCAUCCUGGCUUGAUUAGAAUGACGAAGAAGUUGUCAUAUUCCCAAACAGGAAAACUGGGAUCUCCUGAUUUGAAAGUAGGAUAACUUCUUCAUCCUAACUCCUAUGA